UAGCGUAGCAUCUUAGUACUUCUUAGUGUGUGUUCAAUAUGCUAGGAAGGCGAGGCAUGGACGCCGAGCCAGACUUCGCUGAGGCAGGAUGCCGAAUCGAAGGAGUUUCCGCAUACUGCAAUCAUCUAUCCAAACACACUUAGAAGUACUUAGAUGCGUAGCGU
rfam:Anaerosporobacter mobilis DSM 15930 genome assembly, contig: EJ17DRAFT_scaffold00016.16